rnacentral:ncRNA from 1 species
ACGGAGAUAAAAACACGAUCCCGUUGGGUAGUCGGGGUGCGCCUGCGAACUUGUCGCCGACGUCAGUAACCUGCCUCCUUGGUUGUCCCUUCUCCGC